GAAAAUGAGAGUUUGAUCCUGGCUCAGGACGAACGCUGGCGGCGUGCCUAAUACAUGCAAGUCGAGCGAGCUUGCCUAGAUGAUUUUAGUGCUUGCACUAAAUGAAACUAGAUACAAGCGAGCGGCGGACGGGUGAGUAACACGUGGGUAACCUGCCCAAGAGACUGGGAUAACACCUGGAAACAGAUGCUAAUACCGGAUAACAACACUAGACGCAUGUCUAGAGUUUGAAAGAUGGUUCUGCUAUCACUCUUGGAUGGACCUGCGGUGCAUUAGCUAGUUGGUAAGGUAACGGCUUACCAAGGCAAUGAUGCAUAGCCGAGUUGAGAGACUGAUCGGCCACAUUGGGACUGAGACACGGCCCAAACUCCUACGGGAGGCAGCAGUAGGGAAUCUUCCACAAUGGACGAAAGUCUGAUGGAGCAACGCCGCGUGAGUGAAGAAGGGUUUCGGCUCGUAAAGCUCUGUUGGUAGUGAAGAAAGAUAGAGGUAGUAACUGGCCUUUAUUUGACGGUAAUUACUUAGAAAGCCACGGCUAACUACGUGCCAGCAGCCGCGGUAAUACG
rnacentral:rRNA from 2 species